rnacentral:rRNA from 1 species
UACAGAGGUCCCAAGCGUUGUUCGGAUUCAUUGGGCGUAAAGGGUGCGUAGGCGGCGCGGUAAGUCGGGUGUGAAAUCUCGGAGCUUAACUCCGAAACUGCAUUCGAUACUGCCGUGCUUGAGGACUGGAGAGGAGACUGGAAUUUACGGUGUAGCGGUGAAAUGCGUAGAUAUCGAGAGGAACACCUGCGGCGAAGGCGGGUUGCUGGGCUGACACUGACGCUGAGGCGCGAAAGCUAGGGGAGCGAACGGG